ensembl:lncRNA
AUGUCUGCACAUACUGUUCACCUGUCUGCUUCAGAGAGAGAGAGAACAACCCUCCAAAAGAAUGGGUCAUUUGACCAAAGCAUUAUUGAGAGAAUUCCCUGGACAAGAAUUAGAACAAGGAAAACCAAGGCCAUUCAUCCUGGUCUUAUUCAUUCUCCAGCCACGUCUUCUUCCCCUUUCCAGGGCAACCAAAGUAGGAUGUUGGCAAGGUCGGUAAUGUUUGUUUAUAAGCAUUACCUAAUUGAAGAUGGUGAUUUUCUUUUUUUCCUUUAAGUUGCUGGGGUGAUUUCCAACAUAAUUUUAGUGGUAAGAUUCAGACAGAAAUCAAUUAUAGGACAAUGAAAACCAAUUAUAAAAUAAUAGAAGAUAACCCACUGUUACAUUGUGUGGAUGACAGCAAAGGCAAAGGAUUUUAUUAAAGCCAAGAGCCAGAAUGCGUGGGAACAUUUGCAAGGCCACAUAAUUUAGGCAGAGUCAUAAAUUUCUUUAGUAUAAAGGAUAUAAUACAUUUGUAAGUGUAUUUAAUAUGCAUAGAUUGCUAACACACCUGCACUGAGUGAAAACAAGGAGCAUUUAUUCAUUUAUAUUAUAGGAAAUCCUUGGCUACUGGGUCUUGUGUUCUAAGUGGCUGUGGCUUUCUUUCAGCACAGAACUUUCUCUGCUUGAGUGUAGAAAAGAUAGAAAAAGACCCUGGCCUAAAGUCUGUUUCUUUGUCUCUUUGGGGGCAGCCAGUCUGAGUAGAAUUCAUCUUUCCAUCCUUACACCUUGCUCUUCCAAGAGAAUCAAUGAAAUGUGUCACCAUCGUUUCAUAAAAUAUGAAUAAUGUCCUAGGGACUACCACUACCAAGUUACCCAUGAGAUAUAAUGGGGACAUGAGACAUAAAUGGGCUGAUCCUAUAAAUUGGGCUGAUCCCAAUUUGACUAGUGUAGGAAAGGGGCCAUGACAGUCCCCUAUGAAACUCCCAACUUUGGAGGAGGAGGACUUGUGUUCAGUCCUAGCUCUGCCCAGGGCUGGCUUAGGCAGAUCAUUCCCUCUCUCAGAGCCUCAAGUGCCUCAGCUGUAUGCUGGACAUUGCAAUAGGUUUUGGAUGUGGUUGCAUCACUAUCAGAUAGUUGUGUUGUCCUCAAGUGGUUAUAUUAUUAUGCGAGUUUAGAAAGCAGAAUUAAAGGAUUUGCAGGAGGCCUUGGAACUAGAAAGAGCUGGUUUGGGCAGAGGUCUACCUGCAGUUAGUUCUUUUUCCUCCCAGGUGUGUGAGGAAAAAUAAGACCAGAAAUGAAGAGGACUUUGCAGAGAGGGAGGCUCUGACUUAACAUGCCACAUGGCUAGUCAAUAGUUCAGUCCACCAGAACAGCAUAGCGUUAAGGAAGACACAAAGUUUAUUGAACACUUAUGUGAUGAAAAAAUAAAAUUUGUGGAUCUAUGUGGAGAGCUGCUCUGUACUAGGGGAGGGAAUAAAAUUUGAAAGUAUUUAUAGUUAACAGCAGGUUUUAACCCUACUGAAACUCCUGUGCUUGGUUCCUUUUCACUUCUGCAAGUUUGAUCUGUUCAAGAAUUUUUCUUACUUUUGAAAAGCUAGCGUAAAUUGACUGAAAUGGCUCAGCUAAAAUUUCUUUGAAGAAGACCAUUUAUGUCUAGAAAAAGAGAUUUAGUAUACAAAAAAGAGACUGAGAGGCUGUAUGACCUCAGUAAGCUGCUGCAGUAAUUCUAAGGGUUGAAAUUCUCAAAACCCAGCAGCUCAGAAAUCCUUCCCUUGGGCUGACGUCCUGCAAGGCUCCAGGGCACAGCUCUGCCCCUCUCUGGAGUGUUGUUUCAGGCCUGGUUGGCGCUGGACCUUGAAUGAUCUUCCUGGGUACAUCUAGUGCUCUAUGGAGGAAACCAGGUCACAUCCAGGUUGUAGUUUCUGGGCAAGUAGAAAAAUGACCUAAGCUGAAAUCAGACCCUGAUCAUGGUGUAUGAGGAUAAAAGAGUGACCAGGACUUAAUCUAUCCAAAGUCUGUGCCACGGAAGAGCAAGAGAGACAAGGGAGCCUCCAAUGUUCUUCUGGCAAAGGCCCUGCACACUCCCAGCACCCACAUAGCCCUUCUGUGGUCAGACAGGAAAGGUGCUGCAUAAAGAGAUCUCUCAGGGCAUAGAAUUGGUCAGAACCCGAGAAGUGUAUUCAGUUUGCUGAGAUGGUGCACUGCAUCUUUAUGGAUAUUACCUCAGUAAGUCACUGACAAGUAUCAUCAACCCUUCUGGGUAGGUGCAGUAGGCAGAAUUCUAAGAUGACCCUCAAGACUCCCACCCCCUGAUGUUCUCACUUCCCGUAAUCCAGCUCCUUGACUGUGUGCAGAAUGAGUGUGAUGGAUAUUGCUGCCAUUAUAUGGCAAAGGUAAAGACAUUUUGCAGAUGUGAUUAUGGUUCUUAAUCAGUUGACUUUGAGUUAAUCAAAGGGUGAUUAUUCUGGGUGGCCUGUCUUAAUCAGUUUAGCCUUUCAGAUGAAGUGGUGGUGGUAAGAGGCAAGAAUUGGCUUCUUACCAAAAUGGAAAAGGAAAGUUCCAUUUUGUGGAGACUGCCACAUGGCUGGAAAUUGGGGUGAGGGGAGAAGUCUCUAGAAGUCAACCACCUCAGUCCUUCAACUGUAAGGAACUGAACUCCACUACCAACCACAUGAG